UGGCUCAGUUGGUAGAGCAUGGUGUUUGUAACGCCAGCAUGGUGUGUGCAACGCCAGGGUUGUGGGUUCAAUUCCCAC
rnacentral:tRNA from 1 species